UGGGGAAUCUUGCGCAAUGGCCGAAAGGCUGACGCAGCGACGCCGCGUGUGGGAGGACGCCUUUCGGGGUGUAAACCACUGUUGCCCGGGACGAACAGCUUCUUUCGAGGAGCCUGACGGUACCGGGUGAGGAAGCACCGGCUAACUCCGUGCCAGCAGCCGCGGUAAUACGGAGGGUGCGAGCGUUGUCCGGAAUCAUUGGGCGUAAAGGGCGCGUAGGUGGCCUGGUCAGUUCGUGGUGAAAGCGCGGGGCUCAACCCCGCGUCGGCCAUGAAUACUGCUGGGCUGGAGCACUGUAGAGGCAGGUGGAAUUCCGGGUGUAGCGGUGGAAUGCGUAGAGAUCCGGAAGAACACCGGUGGCGAAGGCGGCCUGCUGGGCAGUGGCUGACACUGAGGCGCGACAGCGUGGGGGAGCAAACAGGAUUAGAUACCC
rnacentral:rRNA from 1 species